CGAUUAACGGUUUUACAAAGCGGUUUCGCGCCCAGGAGGCCGGGGCUCGUAGCGAAAGCGAACCAAGGCCGGCGCACCCCCCCCCCCCAACACACACACACACCAAGCGUCCCCGGCCUUGUUUUGGCCGCGCGGGGCUGGCGGCGGGACCCCUCCGGGCCACCGGCUGGACCGCGCCCGCGGCCCCUCCAGCGGGUCUGCGACACCGGCGGGCGCACCUGUGCAGGCGGAGGGCAGGUGCCGGGCGGCGGCCGCGCCCCCGCUCCGCGCGCAGUUCCUGUUCCGGACUUCCCCGCGGCCACAAUAAAGCCCUUCUCCGGCCCCUGGCAGGUGCGCGGCGACUCGGGGCGACUCGGGGCGCCCCGGGUCCCGGCGGGGGCCAGCGCCCGACGCCAUCUUCCCGGACUCCGGGUGGACACCGGGCCGUGCGGCCGGGGGCUGGCGGUCCCGCGCUCCGGCCCGGUUCGCGGGCGGUGGGAGCCGGGCCCCGGGAGGCCGAGCCGGUGGGCGGUGCGGGGCGACGGGGUAUCCGGCCCUCGGGGCGGGGCGCCCCAUUGCACGGAGGCGGAGACUGAGGCCCGCGCGGGCUGCGGCUGGUACAGUCGCCGGCGGGGGCCUGGAGACCCCGCCAGAGAGGGUGCGUUACGCAGCCAGCGUCCCGAAACGUCGCCCGAAAGUGACACACCGACAGCCGCCCGGGACGGAAAACCCUGGGCACAGGUCCCCCACCUUCCAGCCGCUCUCUGCGCGCUCCCCUGCCGGGCUCGGGCUUGGCGCGGGGGCGCAGGGCAGAGGGGCUGGGGCCACAGCCGGGGGGCGGCAGGGCUCGGACUCACCUCGAGUCGGAGGUGGCGGUGGCGGCGGCGGCGAUGGUGGCGGCGUCCGGAGCGCUCGGGCCGGGAAGCGUAUUGUCUGCGGCCGCCGGCCGGCGCGCGAGCGUAUAAACCGCCGGGCCCCGCCCCGGCCCGCCCCCGGGGCCGCCUCUCCCGUCGAGGAGCUCGGAACCCGGGACCCGGGUCCCAGUGGUAA
rnacentral:lncRNA from 1 species